GACGAACGCUGGCGGCGUGCCUAAUACAUGCAAGUUGAGCGCUGACGGAUGGUACUCUUGCUCACUGGAUGAGCAGCGAACGGAUGAGUAACGCGUAGGGCAUCUGCUAUUUAGCGGUGGACAACAUUUGGAAACGAAUGCUACUACUGCAUCAAACCUCUAAACACAAGAUUUAAGUUUUCAAGAUGCAUUUGCAUCUCUCAUAGAUGAUUCCGCGGUGGAUUAGCUAGCUGGUGAGGUAAAGGCUCAGCAAAGCGGCGAUACAUAGCCGACCUGGAUGGGUGGUCGAGCACAUCUGGACUGGAACACGGCCCAAGCUCCUACGGGGGGCAGCAGUAGGGGAUCAUCGGCAAUGGAGGAAAGUCUGACCGAGCAACGCCGCGUGAGGUAAGGAAGUUUUCGGAGCGUAAAACUCUGUUGGUAGAGAAGAACAUUGGUGAGGGUAGAAAGCUCAUCAAGUGACGGUAACUACCGAAAAAGCGACGGCUAACUACGUG
rnacentral:rRNA from 1 species